AAGUUAGGGGGUGAAAUCCCAGGGGCUCAACCCUGGAACUGCCUCCAAAACUCCCAGUCUAGAGUUCGAGAGAGGUGAGUGGAAUUCCAAGUGUAGAGGUGAAAUUCGUAGAUAUUUGGAGGAACACCAGUGGCGAAGGCGGCUCACUGGCUCGAUACUGAC
rnacentral:rRNA from 1 species